GAGAGCCGUAUGCCUUGAAAAUCGCACGUACGGUUCGGAGGGAGCGUAAUUAGUAGGCGGCAAUCUAGGGACUAACUACGCGACCCUAC
rnacentral:ncRNA from 1 species